GACGAACGCUGGCGGCGUGCCUAAUACAUGCAAGUAGAACGCUGAAGGAGGAGCUUGCUUCUCCGGAUGAGUUGCGAACGGGUGAGUAACGCGUAGGUAACCUGCCUGGUAGCGGGGGAUAACUAUUGGAAACGAUAGCUAAUACCGCAUAAGAGUAGAUGUUGCAUGACAUUUGCUUAAAAGGUGCAAUUGCAUCACUACCAGAUGGACCUGCGUUGUAUUAGCUAGUUGGUGGGGUAACGGCUCACCAAGGCGACGAUACAUAGCCGACCUGAGAGGGUGGUCGGCCACACUGGGACUGAGACACGGCCCAGACUCCUACGGGAGGCAGCAGUAGGGAAUCUUCGGCAAUGGACGGAAGUCUGACCGAGCAACGCCGCGUGAGUGAAGAAGGUUUUCGGAUCGUAAAGCUCUGUUGUAAGAGAACAACGAGUGUGAGAGUGGAAAGUUCACACUGUGACGGUAUCUUACCAGAAAGGGACGGCUAACUACGUGCCAGCAGCCGCGGUAAUACGUAGGUCCCGAGCGUUGUCCGGAUUUAUUGGGCGUAAAGCGAGCGCACGGGGUUAGAUAUCUCUGAAGUUUAAGGCUGUGGCUUAACCAUAGUACGCUUUUGAGACUGUUUAACUUGAGUGCCACAGGGGAGACCCGCAGUUCCCCGUGGGAGCGAAGAAAUGCGUAAAUAUACGGGGGAAAACUCGUUGGGGAAAAAAAGCUCUCUCCCUUCGUAGCUCACUCUGAGAGUCUAAGACAGGC
rnacentral:rRNA from 1 species